UGAAUCUGAGAGAACCCCGGCCCAGACUCUACGGGAGGCAGCAGUGGGGAUAUGGCACAUUGGCGCAAGCUGAUGCAGCGACGCGCUGAGGGAUGACGCUCGGUGUAAACAUCUUUCAGUACUGACGAAGCGCAAGUGACGCUAGUACAGAAGAAGCACCGGCCAACUACGUGCCAGCAGCCGCGGUAAUACGUAGGGUGCGAGCGUGUCCUGGAAUUACUGGGCGUAAAGAGCUCGUAGGCGGUUUGUCGCGUCGUCUGUGAAAACCCGCAGCUCAACUGCGGGCUUGCAGGCGAUACGGGCAGACUUGAGUACUGCAGGGGAGACUGGAAUUCCUGGUGUAGCGGUGAAAUGCGCAGAUAUCAGGAGGAACACCGGUGGCGAAGGCGGGUCUCUGGGCAGUAACUGACGCUGAGGAGCGAAAGCGUGGGUAGCGAACAGGAUUAGAUACCCUGGUAGUCCACGCCGUAAACGGUGGGCGCUAGGUGUGGGUUUCCUUCCACGGGAUCCGUGCCGUAGCUAACGCAUUAAGCGCCCCGCCUGGGGAGUACGGCCGCAAGGCUAAAACUCAAAGGAAUUGACGGGGGCCCGCACAAGCGGCGGAGCAUGUGGAUUAAUUCGAUGCAACGCGAAGAACCUUACCUGGGUUUGACAUACACCGGACCGCCCCAGAGAUGGGGUUUCCCUUGUGGUCGGUGUACAGGUGGUGCAUGGCUGUCGUCAGCUCGUGUCGUGAGAUGUUGGGUUAAGUCCCGCAACGAGCGCAACCCUUGUCCUGUGUUGCCAGCACGUAAUGGUGGGGACUCGCAGGAGACUGCCGGGGUCAACUCGGAGGAAGGUGGGGACGACGUCAAGUCAUCAUGCCCCUUAUGUCCAGGGCUUCACACAUGCUACAAUGGCCGGUACAGAGGGCUGCGAUACCGCGAGGUGGAGCGAAUCCCUUAAAGCCGGUCUCAGUUCGGAUCGGGGUCUGCAACUCGACCCCGUGAAGUCGGAGUCGCUAGUAAUCGCAGAUCAGCAACGCUGCGGUGAAUACGUUCCCGGGCCUUGUACACACCGCCCGUCACGUCAUGAAAGUCGGUAACACCCGAAGCCGGUGGCCUAACCCCUCGUGGGAGGGAGCCGUCGAAGGUGGGAUCGGCGAUUGGGACG
rnacentral:rRNA from 1 species